AGGCACAGAGACAUUUACUAAUUCCUAGCUAGCUAGGUCCAUUCAUGCAUGCAUUCGCUACACGAAAACAAAUCGUGUGGAGGGCGUCUUGCACGUACCGCAUCGAUAGAUCUAGAAAGCCAUCAGGAUGGUCAAACGGGCGAUUUGGUUUUUUAGCUUGGAGUGCAAACUACGAUUAGAUUAAUGUUAAAAAGCCGGGAGAGCAUAUAGGAAUACUCGGUGACGGAUUUGGAAUGGAGCGGGGGGGGGGGGGGGGGGGGGGGGGCUAGCGGCGCCGCGAUUUUCUUUUCUAUAUAGUACGUACGGCGGCGCACGAUGGAUCAUCGCAUACGCGUGAGGGUAGCAGCGUACGUGAAGGAUCAUUGGUGGUCGUGUCCCUGUUCUAAGCAGUAGCAAGGAAGCCACUAAGCACGCGAUAAUAAUUAAUAAAAAAAAACAAAACAAAACGAUCGCCCUGACGCCCUGCCAACUUUGACAUGCGUAUCCAUAUGCAUGCAUCAUGCAUGAUGAUCCAGAACGAAAAAACGGCCUUGUUUAGUUUUAAAAAAUUUUAUAAAAUUUUUUAGAUUCUCCGUCACAUCGAAUCUUACGGUAUAUGUAUGAACCAUUAAAUAUAGAUAAAAGAAAUAAUUGAUUACACAGUUUACCUGUAAUUUGCGAUAUGAAUCUUUUGAGUCUAGUUAGAUCGGACAAUAUUUGUCAAAUACAAAUG
rnacentral:lncRNA from 1 species